GUAGUACUCCAUCCGUCCCAAAAUUCUUGUCUUACAUUUUUUUUAGAUACGGAUGUAUCUAACACUAAAAUGUAACUAGAAACUUCCGUAUUUAGACAAAUUUAAGACAAGAAUUUUGGGGCGGAGGGAGUACAAA
rfam:Triticum aestivum genome assembly, contig: Triticum_aestivum_CS42_TGACv1_scaffold_327934_4BS